GAUGAACGCUGACAGAAUGCUUAACACAUGCAAGUCGACUCGAGUCUUCGGACUUGGGUGGCGCACGGGUGAGUAACGCGUAAAGAACUUGCCUCUUAGACCGGGACAACAUCUGGAAACGGAUGCUAAUACCGGAUAUUAUGGUUUUUUCGCAUGGAGGAAUCAUGAAAGCUAGAUGCGCUAAGAGAGAGCUUUGCGUCCCAUUAGCUGGUUGGUGAGGUAACGGCCCACCAAGGCAAUGAUGGGUAGCCGGCCUGAGAGGGUGAACGGCCACAAGGGGACUGAGACACGGCCCUUACUCCUACGGGAGGCAGCAGUGGGGAAUAUUGGACAAUGGACCACAAGUCUGAUCCAGCAAUUCUGUGUGCACGAUGACGUUUUUCGGAAUGUAAAGUGCUUCCAGUCGGGAAGAAGUCAGUGACGGUACCGACAGAAGAAGCGACGGCUAAAUACGUGCCAGCAGCCGCGGUAAUACGUAUGUCGCAAGCGUUAUCCGGAUUUAUUGGGCGUAAAGCGCGUCUAGGCGGCAAGGAAAGUCUGAUGUGAAAAUGCAGGGCUCAACUCUGUAUUGCGUUGGAAACUGUGUAACUAGAGUACUGGAGAGGUAAGCGGAACUACAAGUGUAGAGGUGAAAUUCGUAGAUAUUUGUAGGAAUGCCGAUGGGGAAGCCAGCUUACUGGACAGAUACUGACGCUAAAGCGCGAAAGCGUGGGUAGCAAACAGG
rnacentral:rRNA from 1 species